GUGUCAGCAGCCGCGGUAAUACGGAGGGUGCGAGCGUUGUUCGGAAUUAUUGGGCGUAAAGCGCGUGUAGGCGGUUUGUUAAGUCUGAUGUGAAAGCCCCGGGCUCAACCUGGGAAGUGCAUUGGAAACUGGCAGACUUGAGUACGGGAGAGGAGAGUGGAAUUCCCAGUGUAGGAGUGAAAUCCGUAGAUAUUGGGAGGAACACCGGUGGCGAAGGCGGCUCUCUGGACCGAUACUGACGCUGAGACGCGAAAGCGUGGGUAGCAAACAGGAUUAGAAACCCUGGUAGUCC
rnacentral:rRNA from 1 species